rnacentral:rRNA from 1 species
CGGUCCAGACUCCUACGGGAGGCAGCAGUGGGGAAUAUUGCACAAUGGGCGCAAGCCUGAUGCAGCCAUGCCGCGUGUGUGAAGAAGGCCUUCGGGUUGUAAAGCACUUUCAGCGGGGAGGAAGGCGAUAAGGUUAAUAACCUUGUCGAUUGACGUUACCCGCAGAAGAAGCACCGGCUAACUCCGUGCCAGCAGCCGCGGUAAUACGGAGGGUGCAAGCGUUAAUCGGAAUUACUGGGCGUAAAGCGCACGCAGG